rnacentral:rRNA from 1 species
UGCCAGCCGCCGCGGUAAUACGAAGGGGGCUAGCGUUGUUCGGAAUUACUGGGCGUAAAGGGCGCGUAGGCGGUUAAGUAAGUUAGGUGUGAAAUCCCAGGGCUCAACUCUGGAACUGCACUUAAAACUGUUUAACUAGAAUACAAGAGAGGACAGUGGAAUUCCUAGUGUAGAGGUGAAAUUCGUAGAUAUUAGGAAGGACAUCGGAGGCGAAGGCGGCUGUCUGGCUUGAUAUUGACGCUGAUGCGCGAAAGCGUGGGUAGCAAACAGGAUUAGAUA